GACGAACGCUGGCGGCGUGCCUAAUACAUGCAAGUCGACCUUAGUGGCGAACGGGUGAGUAACACGUGGGUAACCUGCCCAUCAGAAGGGGAGAAAACUUGGAAACAGGUGCUAUUACCGUAUACUGAUGGAUGGACCCGCGGUGCAUUAGCUAGUUGGUGAGGUAACGGCUAACCAAGGCCACGAUGCAUAGCCGACCGGAGAGGGUGACAGGCCAAAUUGGGACUGAGAAACGGCCCAAACUCCUAGGGAAGGCAGCAGUAGGGAAGCUGCGGCAAGGGACGAAAGUCGGACCGAGCAACGCCGCGUGAGUGAAGAAGGUUUUCGGAUCGUAAAACUCUGUUGUUAGAGAAGCGGUAUCUAACCAGAAAGCCACGGCUAACUACGUGCCAGCCGCCGCGGUAAUAC
rnacentral:rRNA from 1 species